rnacentral:rRNA from 1 species
UACGGGGGGAGCAAGCGUUGUUCGGAUUUACUGGGCGUAAAGGGCGCGUAGGCGGUCAGCACAAGUCAGUUGUGAAAUCUCCGGGCUUAACUCGGAAAGGUCAACUGAUACUGUGCGACUAGAGUGCAGAAGGGGCAACUGGAAUUCUCGGUGUAGCGGUGAAAUGCGUAGAUAUCGGGAGGAACACCAGUGGCGAAGGCGGCUCACUGGACCGGAACUGACGCUGAGGCGCGAAAGCGUGGGGAGCAAACGGG